rnacentral:misc_RNA from 1 species
CUGGAAUAUUCUCUUAUUCAACACUCUGGUAGUCAGAAACAAUUGAAAGCAGAAGAAAAUGAACAAAAUCAAAUUGAUGAGGACCCAAAAAACUUCAUAUUUAUUUGAAUAGAAUCACCGCAUGUAAACAUACAGAGUUUAAAAAAUACAAAGACAACUAUUCAAAUAUUUUUGAGAGAUAAAAAAGAUAUAGUCAGCCUCUGGAUUGUUAUGAAGUGUGGAAGUACACCUGAAGAAUAUGCUCAGAUUCUCAUUUGCAAGUUCAAUGAGAAUAACUAUCUGCUAUUAUUUGCCUAGCGCUUUGCUUCAUCUGAAUCUGAGUCACUUGCAUUAUAACCUGGAUGUUUAUCACUCACUUUCCACACUGACGCCCGACUCUUUGAAGCUCUGUUAAUCCACUCACAGCCCUUUUGGGCAUUUUUCUGAACACCAUAUCCACUGUAAUACAUCUGACCCACAAGGACCUGCAUGGCAAUAUCACCAGCAUUGGCCUCCCUAAGUGUGUCUUGAAACCACCGUUUUGCGCACAAGGAGACUACCUGGGAAAGCGGCACACCAUUCAGGCCAUCAAGACAGAGCGAGCUAUCCUCCAUCUUCUUUACCUUGAGUGGCUGGGAGUCAACCCGGACCUGUCUGGACCUAAGGGGAAUUAAAGGAGCUGCUUUUGAGCGUUUAGGUUGGUGGGAAGAGGCUAUUUUGGUGAGUUCUUGGAGUUUCCCGGUGAAAGGAAGAGAUUUCCCCAUUAAAGAAAAAGAGAACCAAUAUGAAGUAAAUUUUCUUUUUAAAAAAAUGUUGCUUUUGGGCUAUGGUUACAUUACUGGGGUCCUUGCGUGUUCUUGCUUUCGGCUUUCUACCAAAUUUCUUAUCUGAUUUUCGAAGUGGGGGGAGAUUGCGGAAUUGUUUAGAACUUUAGAUCUUUCUUUAUUCAUCAUUCGUGGGACGUAAAAUGGCAGGGUCUGGAGCAUUUUUAGCAUUUCUGUUGAUG